GAGGCAGCAGUGGGGAAUUUUGGACAAUGGGGGCAACCCUGAUCCAGCAAUGCCGCGUGUGUGAAGAAGGCCUUCGGGUUGUAAAGCACUUUUGUUCGGAAAGAAAUCGCCCUGGCUAAUAUCCGGGGUGGAUGAANGGAGGCAGCAGUGGGGAAUUUUGGACAAUGGGGGCAACCCUGAUCCAGCAAUGCCGCGUGUGUGAAGAAGGCCUUCGGGUUGUAAAGCACUUUUGUUCGGAAAGAAAUCGCCCUGGCUAAUAUCCGGGGUGGAUGACGGUACCGGAAGAAUAAGCACCGGCUAACUACGUGCCAGCAGCCGCGGUAAUACGUAGGGUGCAAGCGUUAAUCGGAAUUACUGGGCGUAAAGCGUGCGCAGGCGNUUGUGCAAGACAGAUGUGAAAUCCCCGGGCUUAACCUGGGAACUGCAUUUGUGACUGCACGGCUAGAGUGUGUCAGAGGGGGGUAGAAUUCCACGUGUAGCAGUGAAAUGCGUAGAUAUGUGGAGGAAUACCGAUGGCGAAGGCAGCCCCCUGGGAUAACACUGACGCUCAUGCACGAAAGCGUGGGGAGCAAACAGGAUUAGAUACCNUGGUAGUCCACGCCNUAAACGAUGUCAACUAGUUGUCCGGGUCUUAAUUGACUUGGUAACGCAGUAACGCGUGAAGU
rnacentral:rRNA from 1 species